UGCCAGCAGCCGCGGUAAUACGGAGGGUGCAAGCGUUGCUCGGAAUUACUGGGCGUAAAGCGCACGCAGGCGGCUUGUUAAGUCGGAUGUGAAAGCCCUGGGCUCAACCCAGGAACUGCAUUCGAAACUGGCCAGCUUGAGUUCGGGAGAGGGAGGUGGAAUUCCUGGUGUAGAGGUGAAAUUCGUUGAUAUCAGGAGGAACACCGGCGGCGAAGGCGGCCUCCUGGACCAAUACUGACGCUGAGGUGCGAAAGCGUGGGGAGCAAACAGGAUUAGAUA
rnacentral:rRNA from 1 species